GGGCGGUGGGGGCUGUGUCUGCCGGAUAGGUAUGUACUGGCUCCCCCGUCCUUUCCUACUGGGCACUCGCCCCUCCUCUUAACUGAGUGGGGGUAUUCGCCGGCCUUGUGUCGACGUUUCGCCCGGGUAGGCCAGGGGCAGUUGGCCCCAGCUGGGUGUGGGCGCCUCCGGGCGUUCUUCACCUGGCUGGGACGGCUGUUUCCUGCCUCCCGGUGUCGGAGUUCCAGUUCGUUUACUGUGAGUAAAUUAGAGUGUUCAAAGCAGGCGUGACGCCCGAAUACGUUAGCAUGGAAUAACGAAAUAGGACGCGCGGUUCUAUUUUGUUGGUUUCUAGAGUCGCCGUA
rnacentral:rRNA from 1 species